CAGGCGGCUGCGCUUGUCUGUGAUAACCUCGUGCCGAUCGCACGUCCCCGUGACGGCGACAACGCAUUCUGAUGUCUGCCCUAUCAACUUUCGCUGCAAUUUUCCGGGCCUACCAUGGUGACCACGGGUAACAGGGAAUCAGGGUUCGAUUCCAGAGAGGGAGCCUGAGAAACGGCUACCACAGGCAAGGAAGGAAGCAGGCACGCAAAUUACCCACUCCCGACGUAGAGAGGUAGUGA